UUCAGUGUUUUAUUUCCCAUAUAUAUAUAUAUAUAAAUAAACAAAUACAGAUUGAUACUUGGAGUCAAAGUAUCGAAAUAUUGUUGAAAACAGCUCUUGUUUUGCUUCUCAAGCUUUCAACAUGUUCCUUAACAUUCUCUAACCAUGAGUGAUAACUGUGUGUGUUUCAACAGAAAUACCAUCCAGUUUACACCAACUCAGAUUGAGGCCAUCCAUGCUGGGAUGCAGCCUGAACCCACUAUGGUAAACUAUGGAUGGAUGUGGUAUAUGGUGUGUUCUGGUAUGGGCGUGUGCACGACGUACUGGCCAGGAGGCUGGAGCUGCUCAGAGACGUGGGCAGUCUGCAAGAGAGUCUGGACCUACACCUGUGAGACCGACAGACACUUCUACCUCUACCAGGUGAUGUCUCACUGGGAAGAGUACAUUUCCAAGGUCAGGUCUAAGCAGGGUGAAGGCCGAAGCCAUGGCCACACACUUCCCCUUCCACAAGUACUUCUCCAACGCCCCCCCAGCCUGUGUUCCACGGUCGCUCCUAUGAUGAGGACAUGGACUUCGUUGAGGGUUGCUACCAACAACCCACAUCAAGAAGAGAUUUACCCAGCUGGAGGCAGGCCACACACACACACACACACACACACACACACACACACACAUACACACACACACACAUCACAUCACAUGUUUACCUAGCUAAAGGGACAUACACCAUGAAGAUCCUCACUCUGUCAGAGAUAAACAUGUCACAAACAAACAGGCUCUUGAACAAACACACACAUACCAUAUUCAUCCCAGUCAGAGGUUAAUUAUGUCACACACACACCAUGUCAGCAGUUCCGAUGUUGCUCACGGGUCGUUAGCCAUCUUUGUGUGUGUGGUGAAGUGGGAGUUGGAACGCUGAACACACGUGAUUCUCUUUCCACAACUGAUGCCAUGACAGGUCUGCCCAGGCUCUCUCUCCCACUCCUACCGGAGAAGUAGCCACUGUGACAUCGCACUGCAUCACAUUUCAACAGUUUGUUUUGUGUUUCUGUUGUGAUAUUAGGAGUUUGUAAUAUGAUGGGGAUAUAGUGAGUUUCUUCCUUUUCAUUCUUUUCCACCCUCUUUGUUAAAUCUCUCUUUCACACACUCACUCACUCACUCACUCAUUCCCUCUGUUUGAGUGUGUUCUGUGAGACAUUGGUUGGAAUUACAUGGUGAUUUGGUGACAUGUCACCCUGUGCCCCCUCCCCUCCUCCCCUGACCCCAUUGGCAGUGACACAGGACCUGCUGUCUGUCUCCCCAGAUGCGGAUGGAAGGUUAUAGGGCCUUUCACUCACCCUGCACUCCCUACACAUACAUACCCUACACAUAAUUUACCGGACAUUUGAGAAAUUUACCGGACCCAUAUGCAUUGGGUAUGUAACCUGAUCUGGGUGUCCACCCACCGAGCUCAGAAUGACAGAAAUCACAUUUAGAUUAUGCUAAUUCAUAUUAAAAGAACAUGUGCGGCUGGCUUCCGGGUUGGAUUGCGCGCUGUGUUAAGAAGCAGUGCGGCUUGGUUGGGUUGUG